rnacentral:rRNA from 1 species
UACGGGGGGGGCAAGCGUUGUUCGGAAUUACUGGGCGUAAAGGGCUCGUAGGCGGCCAACUAAGUCAGACGUGAAAUCCCUCGGCUUAACCGGGGAACUGCGUCUGAUACUGGAUGGCUUGAAUCCGGGAGAGGGAUGCGGAAUUCCAGGUGUAGCGGUGAAAUGCGUAGAUAUCUGGAGGAACACCGGUGGCGAAGGCGGCAUCCUAGACCGGCACUGACGCUGAGGAGCGAAAGCCAGGGGAGCAAACGGG